AGUGAUGUAGCUCAGUGGUAGAGCACUUGCCUCGCAUGCAUGAAGCCAUGGGUUCAAUCCAACACCACAA
rnacentral:tRNA from 1 species